GACGAACGCUGGCGGCGUGCUUAACACAUGCAAGUCGAACGGAAAGGCCCUGCUUUUGUGGGGUGCUCGAGUGGCGAACGGGUGAUUAACACGUGAGUAACCUGCCCUUGACUUUGGGUUAACUUCAGGAAACUGGGGAUAAUACCGGAUAGGUGCUCCUGAUGCAUGGUGGGGGUUGGAUAGCUUGGGGGGAUGGGGGUGGGCUGGCGGGGUAACAGCUUGUUGGUGGGGUAGUGGCUAACCAAGGCGUUGACGGGUAGCCCGCCUGAGAGGGUGAGCGGCGACACUGGGACCGAGGGAAGGCACAGACGGCUACGUGUGGCAGCAGGGGGGAAUCUUGCACCAUGGGCGGAGGGCUGAUGCAGCAGCGCCGCGUGCGGGAAGCCGGCCUUGUGGGUGUAAACCGCUUUCGGCUUUAUCGAAGCGUGAGUGACGGUAACGGGUAAAGAAGCACCGGCUAACUACGUG
rnacentral:rRNA from 1 species